UAGAGUUUGAUCUGGCUCAGGACGAACCCUUGAAGCGUGCUUAAUACAUGCAAGUCAACUGAACUUAAGGUCGUAAUAUUUUAAGGGAGGUGGCGCACGGGUGAGUAACACGUAGGUAAUCUGCCUUUAGGUCUGACACAACCUACCGAAAGGUAGGCUAAUAUCAGAUGAUGCAGCGGCUCGACAUCGAGACAGUUGUUAAACCUUCGGGGCCUAAAGAUGAGCCUGCGUCUGAUUAGGUAGUUGGCGGAGUAAUAGCCCACCAAGCCUGCGAUCAGUAGCUGGUCUGAGAGGAUGAUCAGCCACACUGGAACUGAGACACGGUCCAGACUCCUACGGGAGGCAGCAGUAAGGAAUAUUGCUCAAUGGCCGAAAGGCUGAAGCAGCAACGCCGCGUGGAGGAUGAAAUACUUUUGUAUGUAAACUCCUGUAAGAAGGGAAAAAUAUGCAGUUUUUCUGCAUUGAUUGUACCUUCAGAGUAAGCCCCGGCUAACUACGUGCCAGCAGCCGCCGUAAUA
rnacentral:rRNA from 1 species